rnacentral:lncRNA from 1 species
UGAAACAGAGAUCAUCGGUGUUGGGGACAAGAGACGAAUAUGGACAUGAGGGCGUCGACUUCGAAAACAGACAUGGUGGACGCUCUUCGUCGCUACCGUGAGAUCCUGAGGUGGGAGACCAAUGUGCUAAGGAUUGAGGUCACAUCCCGGGGCCUGGAGACGAUCACCGGAAAGAAGGCUUAUCUACAGCGUCAUAACUCCGACGGAAGAUCACUAGCUCUCGACUCACCUCAGCUAGACGAGCAGCUGUCCGGCCACAAGAUCGCGAGCCUGCCUCUGGUGAGUUUGCCCUACCUCGUCGAUAAUCAUGAGGAGGCCCUCGAUCUGCUCUUGCACGAGGCGCACAAGCUGGGCUACCGGGUCCAAUCCCUACAGGAACUCGGUGUCCCAAUCUCCUUGGAGACGGUCAGAUUACUCUAUCUCGUGUCAAAAAGAUGCACGGAGAUCUCCAGAAACAUAGCGAGGCAUGGGUCGCCAAAUUCAGGCAAAUCUAACUCUCAGGACACUCCCGCAAUUUCCGCUUACAAAGAGCGUCGUGCAAGCUGGGAAUCCAUUUGGGGCAGCCCCGUGUUAAGGUGUGGCGGCUUCAAUGAUAUAAGUAAGCUUCGU